rnacentral:rRNA from 1 species
UCAGACGAUGCGUCAUGCAUAUCAAUAAGCGGAGGAAAAGAAACUAACAAGGAUUCCCCUAGUAACGGCGAGUGAAGCGGGAAGAGCUCAAAUUUGAAAUCUUAAAGGGUUUCCCUUUACGAAUUGUAGUUUAAAGAAGUGUUUUCUGUUGAGGUUUUGGUAAAAGUUCUUUGGAAUAGGACAUCAUAGAGGGUGAGAAUCCCGUAUUUGACCUUUACUUUCAACUUUGUGAUACACUUUCAAAGAGUCGGAUUGUUUGGGAAUGCAGUCCAAAAUGGGUGGUAAAUUUCAUCUAAAGCUAAAUAUUGGCGAGAGACCGAUAGCGAACAAGUACCGUGAGGGAAAGAUGAAAAGAACUUUGAAAAGAGAGUUAAACAGUACGUGAAAUUGUCAAAAGGGAAGCGUUUGACACCAGUGUUGUUUUUCUGAAAAUCAAUUAAAGAACUGUUUAUGCUAAGCUGUUUAGACUUUAUCAGCUAUCUGUUUAGUUUUGAGCUUUUCUUUAAUGCACUUUUCAGUUAACAAGUCAACAUCAAUUUCUUUUGCUGUAAAAAAGCUUGAGGAAGGUGGCUUGAGAUUCGUCUUAAGUGUUUAUAGCCUCUUGCCUAUGCAGUCGGAGAGAUUGAGGUCUGCAGCGUAGAUCCUUCGGGGCUAACUGCAUUUGUGCUAAGUUAUAGCAUUUCAUAGACAACUUGUUGACUAUGAUUUGUCUUGUAGCUUACUCGCUUAUGUUAUUUUACCUACGCUUAGGAUGUUGAAUCUGUGCGAGACUAC